rnacentral:rRNA from 1 species
CCUACGGGCGGCUGUAGUGGGGGAUAUUGCACAAUGGGGGAAACCCUGAUGCAGCGACGCCGCGUGAGUGAAGAAGUAUUUCGGUAUGUAAAGCUCUAUCAGCAGGGAAGAAAAUGACAGUACCUGACCAAGAAGCCCCGGCUAACUCCGUGCCAGCAGCCGCGGUAAUACGGAGGAUGCGAGCGUUAUCCGGAUUCAUUGGGUUUAAAGGGUGCGCAGGCGGGCCUUUAAGCCGGCGGUGAAAUCGCGGGGCUCAACCCCGCCGAGCCGUCGGAACUGGGGGCCUUGAGUGCGGCGGAGGCAUGCGGAAUGCGCGGUGUAGCGGUGAAAUGCAUAGAUAGCGCGCAGAACCCCGAGUGCGAAGGCAGCGUGCCGUGCCGCCACUGACGCUGAGGCACGAAAGCGCGGGGAUCGAACAGGAUUAGAUACCCUUGUAGUC